GCGCCUGGUCUCACGGGACAGCUAACCAAGGUGGGAAGCUCAGCUGUCGGGAUUGCUGAAGACUUGGGGCUGUGAAACUGGGAAACUCAACUGAAGCCGUUCUGGGCACCCAUAUAAUUUUAAAGCCAGACAAAAAAGGAAGAACUUACUGACAGCCUUCCCAAAUUUGCAUACUAAGAAAAAAAAAAAACCAAACAAACCAAAAACCCAAACCUCAAGUGAAUACAUUGCAAAUUAUGUACCUAGUUCUGGUUCACACCAGUGAAGACAAGAUGAAGGAACGGAAACCGGAAGUUACAGUGUGGCUGAACUUCAGAGGCAGAAUGUUAAGGGGAAGGGAAACUUCCAGGCUAAAGCUCAUCCAACGCGAAAGGGAAGAUGAAGAAAAACCUUCGUUGGGCACCCCCGCUGGUGCAGUGGCACAGGCCUGUAAUAUCAGCACUCUAGGAGGCGGAGGCAGAGGCAGGUGGAUCUCCGUGAACUCGAAGCCAGCCUGAUUUACAAAAUGGAUCCAGGACAGCCAAGGCUACACAGAGAAACCCUGUCUUGAAAAACCAAAAUAAACAAAUAAUUC